GCCAACGUUCAUAUCACGUUGAAUACACCAGUUCUCGUCCGAUCACUGAAGUUAAGCAACGUUGAGCGUGGAUAGUACUUGGAUUGUGUAUGAAAACACUUUUUUCC
rnacentral:rRNA from 1 species